rnacentral:snoRNA from 1 species
CCAAUGUGAUGGAUGUCUCAGCAAGAGCAGGUCACGUAGUAAGUACUGAUACUUUGGGUUUGAGUGA